GACAGAGGGUGCAAACGUUGUUCGGAAUUACUGGGCGUAAAGCGUGUGUAGGCGGUUGCACAAGUCGGAUGUGAAAGCCCCGGGCUCAACCCGGGAAGUGCACUCGAAACUGUGCGACUGGAGUCUCGGAGAGGUUGGUAGAAUUCUCGGUGUAGAGGUGAAAUUCGUAGAUAUCGAGAGGAAUACCGGCGGCGAAGGCGGCCAACUGGACGAAGACUGACACUGAGACACGAAAGCGUGGGGAGCAAACAGG
rnacentral:rRNA from 1 species